AUUGAACGCUGGCGGCAUGCCUUACACAUGCAAGUCGAACGGCAGCACGGGGCAACCUGGUGGCGAGUGGCGAACGGGUGAGUAAUGCAUCGGAACGUACCUUUCAGUGGGGGAUAACGUAGCGAAAGUUACGCUAAUACCGCAUAUUCUGUGAGCAGGAAAGCAGGGGAUCGCAAGACCUUGCGCUGAUUGAGCGGCCGAUGUCAGAUUAGCUAGUUGGUGAGGUAAAGGCUCACCAAGGCGACGAUCUGUAGCGGGUCUGAGAGGAUGAUCCGCCACACUGGAACUGGGACACGGUCCAGACUCCUACGGGAGGCAGCAGUGGGGAAUUUUGGACAAUGGGGGCAACCCUGAUCCAGCCAUGCCGCGUGAGUGAAGAAGGCCUUCGGAUUGUAAAGCUCUUUCGGCCGGGAAGAAAUCGCACGGGCUAAUACCCUGUGUGGAUGACGGUACCGGAAUAAGAAGCACCGGCUAACUACGUGCCAGCCGCCGCGGUAACAC
rnacentral:rRNA from 1 species